GACGAACGCUGGCGGCGCGCUUAACACAUGCAAGUCGAACGGAAAGGCCUGCUUUCCCUUGUGGAUUGCGGGUACUCGCGUGGCGAACGGGUGAGUAACACGUGAGUGAUCUGCCCCCAACUUGGGUAUAAGCCUGGGAAACUGGGUCUAAUUCCCGAUAGGACUGCAGGGUGGUGCCUGUGGUGGAAAACGAUUUUCUAGUGGUUGGGGAUGAGCUCGCGGCCUAUCAGCUUGUUGGUGGGGUAAUGGCCUACCAAGGCGGGGACGGGUAGCCGGCCUGGGAGGGUGGACGGGCACAUUGGGACUGAGAUACGGCCCAGACGCCUACGGGAGGAAGCAGUGGGGAAGAUGGCACAAUGGGCGGAAGCCUGAGGCAGCGACGCCGCGUGGGGGAUGACGGCCUUCGGGUUGUAAACUCCUUGCGACCGAGAGGAAGCCACCUGGUUGGAAGGGUGGUGACGGUAGUGGUAGAAGAAGCACCGGCUAACUACGUG
rnacentral:rRNA from 1 species